UCGUUUCUGUCUCUUUUGCUUCUCUCUUUUCUAGAUCUAGCUCUUCAACUUUAUUCUCUUUCUCCCACGCUUCUAACCGUGCUGAUAACUAGGGGAUGCUCUCCCCCAAGCUAGAUGUUUGCUUAUGGUUGAUCGUUGAAGCUAAGUUGUCCUCAUGGAGGAGCUCAUGCUUAUAAGAGCAAGUGUUGCCAGGAAUACUUCAAUCUCAUCACCCAAGAAGUUACUUUAUUCAUAUAGGGGUCAGCUAUAUGUUAGAAAGGUGUACUUCAAGUGAUGAAGAUGAAGAUUCCUUGGCUCUUGGAGUCAUCUUGCAGAAAGCUCUCACAAAACACCAAAACUCAUGGAACAGUAUUAGGAUAAAAUGUUAAUGAUUAUCAUUUUUGGAGGAUUGGGUGUUGUGGUGGUUUCAAAGUAUUUUCAAGACAGUAGUAUUGCAGCAGGAUGCUCAGUUAAUAUUUUUGGAUUUUAUGGGUUUGUAUGCAUAAAGUGAAAAUGCAUGAUAUAUAUUUUUAUUCUAUAGGCC
rnacentral:lncRNA from 1 species